rnacentral:lncRNA from 1 species
UGAAAACAUAUCUAGAGAACUAAGGCACUUACCAAGGUGAAUUGCUUCACCUGGAUAGCUAUAACGGGGGUAUGUCUCACUCAAGACAACAUAAGCAUGAGGAACAUUACACUUGUUAACAGAUGUUACUUGUGUCAACAAAAUUCAGAAAGUGUCAAUCAUCUUUUCCUCCAUUGCGCAGUUGCAAGUGAAAUCUGGAGUCUCUUCUUCUCUAUUUUUGGUCUGAAAUAGGUUAUCCUCGGACAAUAAAGAAAGCAUAUGAAAGUUGGUCUUUUUGGAGAGUUGACAAAGCCAUCAAUAGUAUCUGAAGAAUGAUUCCAACAGUAAUUUUUUGGUGUACCUGGACAGAAAGAAAUCAGAGGUGUUUUGAUGGCAUCCCAACUUCAACCUACUCCCUCAAGACUAUUUGCUUAGUUAAUCUAUUUAGCUGGAUUCCUCUUUCCCCUGUAAUAAGUGAAGACCACCUUGUGGAUUUCAUUAGCUCCUUGUUCUUAGUAUAAAUUUUUGUACUAGAGCUAGUUAUCUACCUUUUUGUAUCUUUUGCAUCUUCUUGAUGCCUAUUAAUGAAUCACCCUUACUUCAUCCAAAAAAAAUAUUCGUAUUUAUAUUAUCAAGUGUUAAUUCAAAUUAGUAAGAUGUUAGCCAUAUGUUUGAAAUGCAUUACCUUGGAUCUUGAUGUAAGAAACUUUAUUUGCCAAUUCAAAUAUUUGAGUAGUUUAAUUCGAAAUUUUAUAAUAUUUCUUAUGUUAAAAAGUAAAUAUUCUUUGUUUUUUUAAAACCUUUUUUACACUGAUUUUAUACUUUUUUUUACAAAAUUCAGAAUUAUCUAAGUCAAAAUAUUAUUAUGUAUUUUACAAUACUUUUUGGGGCCUCAAAAUUUUUGGGCCCUAAAGCGAAGGAUUUACUAGCCUCACCAUUGAGCCACCCACGAAGAUAAGUUGUAUAUUUCUAAGCAAAUAGUCUGUUUGAAGAUUGUAAAGAUGCAAUAAGUGGUAUGAUCUUAAACAUAAAAUAGGAAAAAUUUGAGGAAGUAAAGAAGUUAUUCUUGAAUAAACAAAAGAAAGCAUGGUUCAAUUAUAAAUAACAUGUAACACAUGACGAACAAUUCAAGAGAAAUAGCACAUAAAUAUUCAGAAAGCACCGAAGUAUAAAUCUUACUUAUGUAUACAUUAUCCGAAUUCAGCCAAAUAUGAAACUAUAGCAGCUCUAAUUUCAACAACACAAAACUUCAUUAUCCGAAUUUUAGGCAUAGCAAAGUUUCUUAAUUUUGGACGAGCUUCAUAAACACCAAUUAUGGUUUAUAUUUCAACUAGAGAAAUUGAAUCUCAGUCAUUAAUAUGCAAUUCUUGAAGAAAACAAAAGAACGUUCAAAAGGGACUAUGUGAAUCUGCAAAAGAGAAAAAAACAUUGCUAAUAAUUUAGAACACGUCCCAAUUAAGAUUUACGAUUUAGAGAAUCGGGAUGUCAAUAAAAUCAAGAAAAAUUAUAGAAAAUUUAGAGAUUCAAUCAAAAUAGAAUAUCCAAAAGUGAAAACAAGACACGAUAAGAGGCAAGCAAAACCUUCUAGUUUAGCCCCUUCUCAAUCGUAUUUACCAUUAGAAAAGUAAAAAUAAGAUGGAGAAUUCCAAGUAUAAUUUUCAAAAUCUUACCCAGAAAAAUAUUCGGCGAUUGCUUGAUCCUUG